GAGAGGGUGAUCGGCCACACUGGGACUGAGACACGGCCCAGACUCCUACGGGAGGCAGCAGUAGGGAAUCUUCCACAAUGGACGAAAGUCUGAUGGAGCAACGCCGCGUGAGUGAUGAAGGUUUUCGGAUCGUAAAACUCUGUUGUAAGGGAAGAAUAGGCGUGAGAGGUAAUGCUCACGCUAUGACGGUACCUUACGAGAAAGCCACGGCUAACUACGUGCCAGCAGCCGCGGUAAUACGUAGGUGGCAAGCGUUGUCCGGAAUUAUUGGGCGUAAAGCGCGCGCAGGCGGCCUUUUAAGUCUGAUGUGAAAGCCCCCGGCUCAACCGGGGAGGGUCAUUGGAAACUGGAAGGCUUGAGUACAGAAGAGAAGAGUGGAAUUCCAUGUGUAGCGGUGAAAUGCGUAGAGAUGUGGAGGAACACCAGUGGCGAAGGCGACUCUUUGGUCUGUAACUGACGCUGAGGCGCGAAAGCGUGGGGAGCAAACAGGAUUAGAUACCCUGGUAGUCCACGCCGUAAACGAUGAGUGCUAGGUGUUGGGGGGUUUCCGCCCCUCAGUGCUGAAGCUAACGCAUUAAGCACUCCGCCUGGGGAGUACGGCCGCAAGGCUGAAACUCAAAGGAAUUGACGGG
rnacentral:rRNA from 1 species